rnacentral:lncRNA from 1 species
UGUCACUACCGCCUCAUCGGCACUGCCUGUUUUUGGUCUGAAUGAGAUGUGCCUUAUAAGUCCCAAGCCUGUGACUACUGGGCUCACAGUUGGUGGCUGUUGGAGGAGAAUUAGAAGGGAAAUAUAGCUAACGAUGGGACUGCUGGUGAUGAACGCCCAAACUGCAGGACUGGGGGAUGGCUCACUGGAGAAAUCAGUUGUCAGACAGAGUCCAGAUCACUGGGAUGGAUAUAGGUAAGAAAUCAAGGUGGACACACAACCACAUACAUUCUUACAGGAUGUGGUAACCUGCAAUCCCAGCCAUGAGUCUGAAGACUGACUGUAAAUUGAAGGCCUGCCUGAGACACAAAGCACUGGUGAUGUUUUCAGUGUUACUCAUAAGACGAGAGGAAAAAACAGUGGGACAAACAGCCACGUGUCUUUAGUGAGCAACCUGUACAUUCCGCCUACCAACAAGGCGAGAGCGAUCCUGUUGGAGCCACAGAAGGCACCGAAUUCUUCAGAGCAUCAAUGACUGUGUGAAAAAGCCUUGACUCGGUAUCAGUGGAAACAAUUCUCAUUAAUGUUGCCUAACAUUUUUGUAGAUGAAUGUUGACAAAAUUAAAGACUCUGAGGGCUGCUGAAUAAAUCUGGGGUUGCCUAAGAUCUGGAAUAGGCAGACGUUAUUAUACACAACACCUUCCUGGUGUGAAAAGGAAAUAAGGCAGUUUACAGUGGAAGGAUUUCCUUGCUUUCCCCCUCCUCCUCAGGAGAGGGGUACAAUCAGUGUUUAUUUAAUCAAAUGUGUUAACUUUUUAAAAAACUGAAUGGAAAAGAAAACCUUAUCCCUUUCGCUGAAUCAACUGGAUUUUCAAAAAAGAAUAGU